AACGAACGCUGGCGGCAUGCCUAACACAUGCAAGUCGAACGAGACCUUCGGGUCUAGUGGCGCACGGGUGCGUAACGCGUGGGAACCUGCCCUUAGGCUCGGAAUAACUCCCCGAAAGGGGUGCUAAUACCGGAUAAUGUCUUCGGACCAAAGAUUUAUCGCCUUUGGAUGGGCCCGCGUUGGAUUAGCUAGUUGGUAGGGUAAAAGCCUACCAAGGCGACGAUCCAUAGCUGGUCUGAGAGGAUGAUCAGCCACACUGGGACUGAGACACGGCCCAGACUCCUACGGGAAGCAGCAGUGGGGAAUAUUGGACAAUGGGCGAAAUCCUGAUCCAGCAAUGCCGCGUGAGUGAUGAAGGCCUUAGGGUUGUAAAGCUCUUUUACCCGGGAUGAUAAUGACAGUACCGGGAGAAUAAGCUCCGGCUAACUCCGUG
rnacentral:rRNA from 1 species